rnacentral:lncRNA from 1 species
AAUUUUUUAAGGAAUCUGACAUAUUUUAGGUGAAAGUAUAAAAGUUGCAAGCGAAAUAUUCGAUUUCUCUAGCUUGAAAAUGUCUUCUGGGUUCUACGGCGGAGGUUCCGACUUCUACACCGUCGGUGGGAGGCCUAUCACGAACAACCUUAACCCAAAACAGCAAGUUAACUACAGGUCCACUCUCGCCGGAAUUCUACCCGAUCCGGCUUCUCAGAUCAUGCCUUCCCGGCGACCGGAUUUGUGAAACAGAAAAGUAAUAAAUCAUUUGCACUAUUUCUCGAUUCACGCUAUUUGUACGAGCUACAACACAUUGAGCCUACAUUUGUUUUAAUUAAAAAUUAGAUUUUUAGUAGAUUUUUAUAAAAGUUGAUGAAAUGUAUAUUUAAAAAGUUGAUAAAAGUCGAGAAUGAGUUUGGGAGAAAAACAAUUUUAAAAAAUGUGCCAAACAAGGCUGAAAUCUGUUACUGGCAAUUACCAACAUGUUAUUUUCUCUUAACAACCAACUUUAUUGGUUUUUCAAAAAAUAAUUUAAACCAUGUUUAGUGGAAAAAAUUGAUGAAAUAUGUAAUUAAAAAAUUGCAAGUUCGAUAAAUUAUUUGAUUAAAUUUAAUUAUUAAUUUUAACAUAAAUUAAAAUAUAAAUUUUAGUCCAUAUCAUACUGGGUAUUAGAUAAUUUGGCCUAUUGACUCGAAAAUAUAGAAUUGGAUUAUGCGGAUCGGGUAUCGUUUGUCAUAAGGAAAAUGCUUCUGGUACAUAACUAUUUACAUAAUAUGAGGUGCUAAAAUGUAAGUAAAGAAAUUAUUCGGCCGAUAAAUCAUUAUGUAAAUUGUCAUGUAUUUGCAACAUACUCUUAGCUAGAAUACAACUUGGUCAGUUACAAUGCUAUACCGACCAUUGUAUGAUUCUUCCAAUAUAGUGUAUGCGUUGAAUACACGUGACGACUCUGCGCGUGAUCAUCGUUUCGCAUUGGUCAAAACCCACUCAAACCUGACCGUCGAUUUAACUUUGAACUUUUAAAAAGACCAAGAUUCAACUCAUCUGAUGGUCAUAAUUAUUGACACGCGUACAGCAUUGCCGUAAAAGAAACAGUUUUCCAAUUAAACAAAACGCACACAAAAACCACAAAACCGGUGGAAUUCUUUGCCUCCACCCCACCGGCCCAUCUCUGCUGUGUAUUACGUGUAUACGUUUCUCUCUGUAAACUACAGCACUUUCUUAUAAGGACAAGAAUUUCAGUACAAUAGCUUAAAAUUGAAAUUUUUUCAUCCACCAGGCCCCUCCCCUCUCUCUCUCUAAAAUAUAUUUUCCAGUUCUAAAUGUUGAAUUUUUUAAGGAAUCUGACAUAUUUUAGGUGAAAGUAUAGAAGUUGCAAGCGAAAUAUUCGAUUUCUCUAGCUUGAAAAUGUCUUCUGGGUUCUACGGCGGAGGUUCCGACUUCUACACCGUCGGCGGGAGGCCUAUCACGAACAACCUUAACCCAAAACAGCAAGUUAACUACAGGUCCACUCUCGCCGGAAUUCUACCCGAUCCGGCUUCUCAGAUCAUGCCUUCCCGGCGACCGGAUUUGAUCGGAAAACGAUCUCUGGCAGAUUUUCAACAGCAAAGCUUUCUACAACAGCAG